GGCCGGGUGGUGUAGUGGUCAGGGCGUUAGCCGCGUAAGCUGAGGAUGCGGGUUCAAUUCCCGCCUCGGCCA